UACGGAGGGGGCAAGCGUUAUCCGGAUUCACUGGGGUUAAAGGGUGCGUAGGUGGAAUGGUAAGUCAGUGGUGAAAUCUCCAAGCUUAACUUGGAAACUGCCGUUGAUACUGCUAAACUUGAAUUAUUAGGAAGUAACUAGAAUAUGUAGUGUAGCGGUGAAAUGCUUAGAGAUUACAUGGAAUACCAAUUGCGAAGGCAGGUUACUACUAAUGGAUUGACGCUGAUGGACGAAAGCGUGGGCAGCGAACAGG
rnacentral:rRNA from 1 species